UGAUUGAAGUGUUUAGAGAGUAGAGAGAGGAGCCAACCGAUAGGUGCUGGUGCUAUCGCCGACGAGGCUGGUGCUGCUUUUGUGUGUGCUGACGGGUGCUUCUGCUGAUGCUCUAUGUGCCGACGGGUGUUGCCGCUGCUGCUGUGUGUGGCAAAGGGUGCGCCGCUACUGCUGUGUGUCCGAAGGGUGUUGUCGCUGCUCUUACAGCUACAAUGGAUAUUGAGUCAAACAAUAAUUCAUUCAAUGUGAGUGACGAAGUUGAAGAACAUGAUAACAAUCUUGAAUUCAAUGAGAGUGGUGAAGUUGAAGAACCAAAGAAGGGGAUGUAUUUUACCUCAAAGCAAAAAGUGUACGCAUUUUAUGCUAAAUUUGCAAAAUAGCUUGGAUUUACUAUAGCUUAUAGAACACAAAAUAUAACAACAGAUGGGGAAGUGAACUACUUUGGAAUUGAAUGUACUCGGCCAUGGAAUAGAACAAAAAGAUCAAAAGUAAAUCCCCUGGAACCAUCUUUGUCAUAAAAAGGUGAUUGUAAAGCAAGGGUAAGAGCCAAUCUACAAAAUGAUGGAAAAUAUAAGUUAACUACAGUUGUGCUUGAGCACACUCAUGAUUUGAUUCCUACUGACUCACGACAUUUUGCAAUGAAUAAGAGGAUUCUUACUCCGAUGAAAAGGAGACUAGAAGUUAACGAUGCAGCAGGAAGAAAUUGAGAGGAUAUUCACAAUAUGAAUCCAUCAAGGUUGCUUUGAGUAAUGCAAUUUAUGAUUCAUUCACAAAAGAUGAAUUUGAUGAAUACUGGGAAUCAAUGAUUGCAAAAUUUAAUCUGAAUGAUAAUGAGUGGUUGGGGGUAUUAUACCGUGAGCGACAUAGGUUGAUUUCUACCUAUGUUAAAAACAUAUUUUGGGGUGGCAUGUCAACUACACAACGAAAUGAGAGUAUGAAUGCAUUUUUUGAUGGAUAUGUGAACUCCAAGACAACCUUAAAGCAAUUUGUUGAGCAGUAUGACAAUGCCUUGAGAAGUAAGGUAGAGAAUGAGACAAAUGCAGAUUUUAAGUCUCGUAACAAAUUGUAUGAUUGCUUAAUAGUGUAUCGUUUUGAGAAGCAAUUUCGCAUAGCUUACACUAAUUCUAAAUUUAAAGAAGUUCAAGCAGAAUUGAAACGUCUAGUGUACUGUCGUGCGAAUCUUAUCAAUGAGGAGGGAGCAAAUUGUACCUAUCAUGUGAGGGAGGGUGUUCUUCUGGGUGAGGGGAUGAAGAAAAUGGAAUUUGUUGUGUACUGUAAUUCAACUAAAUGUGAGCUCCAAUAUAUGUGUCGGUUGUUUGAGUUUAGAGGUAUUAUGUGUACACAUUAUUUUUGUGUGCUCAUUGAGAGGUCCAUAUAUGAGGUGCCAAAUAAAUACAUUCUUUCGAGAUGGAGAAACGACGUGAAAAGAGGGUACACAGCAUUCUAACCACAUAUACUACAUUUGGGGUUGCUCUAAAUCCAAAGUUGCAUGAAUCGGAAGGUUAGCAAGGUUGAUACAAUAGUGAAUCGGUUGAAAGGAAAGAAUAAGAAGGCUACUUCUAUAUAGGGUCGCAAGGUGUUUCAAGGUGAACCUUGUAAGUUAAACUUUUAUUGUACGGGAGGCGUGCAGUAUACUAUGUAUGAACCGGUGCCGCAAAAUCAACCUAACUAUUUUCCUUCUAUAGAUGGCACACAAGACAGCAUGUAUAUACCGGUGCCGCAAGAUGAACCUUACUAUUUUCCUUGCAUGGAUGGCACACAUGACAGUAUGUAUGUAUCGGCAGGGGUUAGCACAAUACAAAUGGCGGACAAUAUUAGAAGUACAUCCCAUACUCGAUCAGGAAUGGUCAACAAUAUAAGCAGUCAAAGUUCUACAGUAGUAUCAAAAUUUGUUGACUUGAAUAUAAAUGCGGAUUCAAAUGCCCCAUUUUUUUUUGUUUUUUAGUUUUGUACUAGUAAGUGUAUGACAUUCGUAUGUAAACUUUGGAUAGUUUGGUUUUAUUUCAUUUGGUUACAUUUUGUGGCAAUGUUUGUGUUGGCUUGAUGUUGUGCCAAUGUUUGAGAACAAUUCAUUUUUUGUUUGUUUAUUUUUGUGAAAAAUGACAACAGGCUUCAUUUUGCGGCAA